AAAAAGGAACAGUUAGCACGACAGGUGCAACAGUAGAGGGAAGCCUCGAGCAGACUAUCAAAAUUGAACGAAGCAAGGCGAUAGCUGGAAGCAUUACAGAAAGAAAUUGCGGAGCUUGAAAGCCCACAUGAGAAUGCAAACCCAGCCGCAGCUUAUUUUCACCAAAGCCCCACCGUUGAUCAGGCACAGUUCCAACCCAGUCUCAACUUCGGGCAAGGCACC
rnacentral:lncRNA from 1 species